rnacentral:lncRNA from 1 species
GGAAAGGUUAGCACAGUAGGAACACAGGAAGAACAGGGACAAGUUCACAUUCUGCUCAUAAGAGUUUAUAACGCAGUACAGAGAAGGCGACUCAGAACCACUGACUGCAAGGCAGGUCAGAAGGGCAGGCACUAAGCAGCCAUGCUUGCUGUGGGCUUUCCUCUUGGCACCGCCAGUCGCACAAUCGCCUCAUCCCCACCCCUGAAGCUCGCCAUCCAGUUGCUCGCUUCUUAUUCUAACUACUCUCAAAAGACCUGGAGACAACACCAGCUGACCGGCUGCUGGAGGACCACUCCCAAGGACCACACUUAGAGCUGUCAAGAGAACUUUAUUCAUAGAAACUGGGCAGUCCGACCGACUAAAUGGAGCUAUGACCCCUGAGGCCCAGCCCCUCGUUUGGACCCAAGUGAAAAGUGCGGGAUGCCCUCUCCACUGCCGGAGAGAGCCCAGGAGGAAUGCUAUGUUCUAUGCCAUGUAGGGAAUGAGUAGACAUCUGGUUGUUCCUUCCGAGGCUCCCCAUGGAGCUGGGGUGCCUGAAGGUGAAUGGUCCCAAAGCCAGGUGUAGCUGCACCCCUGUACUCAGGGAUAAACUCCUGACUCCAGGUCCUGGUCAAGUUGGGAGUCUUUAAAAGACAGUGACAGGCAGAAGGGCAUCUGCAAGUUUCUACUCCCAGACCUACCAGGGCAGAGGCUCUGGCUGAACAUAAAGGUUCAAGAUCCAAACCAAGAAAAAACAAAAAAGAGAAAAAGAAUCAAGAUCACUCUAAGGCCCAUGAGUUUCCAAAAUCCUCAAACAACACUGAUGUGGCGUGGCGUGGCGUGGCCUGGGGGAAAGGACCAAAAACUCCAACAAAAGAGCCAGAAGCAGAGAAGGACAGCCCUAGAGGCAGGCAUCUGGGUGGGCCCUGGCAGGCGCAGCACAAGAGCCCACCACAGAGUCUCAGGGCCCUUGCAUAGUGACAUACUCACCACCCUCAGCAUCUCAGGGCCCCACACAGGAUUUAGAGAAAGUGUUACUCUGUCCCACCCAGACUGGAGUCUUCCAGAGUAUUCCAAGCUACACGUCCUGGAUAUAUGGCUUGAGGCUUGGCAGAGUCGCCGCCUUCGGGGGCAAAGAAGACUCAGGCCAGAACCCAGAGGCAAAGUGUUGAUGCUGUCCCGGUGUGUGGAGCGCAGAGGAUGAGCAGGCAGGGAGGGAGUCCUCAGAGGUAGACAUUGAGGGUUUGCAGGAUGCUGCGGCGGCAGAGCGGGCAGUUGCGAUGGUAAACAGGGUGGCGCAUGAGGAUCUCAGUGCAAGCCUGGCACAGGCACAGGUGCCGGCAGGGCAGAAGCAGCACCGUUUUGCUCUGGUCCUGGCAGAUAACACACUUCUUCCGCUCUUCUUGCUCCUUCAACAGCUUCCAUGGGUCCUGCCCAGCGGCAGGCUCGUCCUCGUUGAGUUGCUCUCGGCCUCUAGCUGGUGCAGUUCUGAUGACCUCCUCUUCUGCUUCAGGAGGAGUGUCCUGUGGCUGGAUCCUGGCUGAGAACACCCUCCUGGGGCCACCUUGGGGGGCUCCUGGUGCUCCUCCCCGAUUUGGCCAGCUGGCCAGUUGUAGGCUGCGGCUCCAGACUCUGCGCCAAGCCUCCAGACCUAGUGGAAGGCGAGUCAGCCGUACGAUAUCCUCCCAAAGCCGGUGGUAAGAUGGGCGGGCAUGAAGCUGACUGAGAGCUUGAGUGGCCAGCCUCAGGGUUUGUUCUGGGUGCAACACAAUCAAAAUCACUGCCAGCACGCAAGCCAGCAACACCAAUCCAGUGAGAUGGAAAACCACACAGCUGGCCAGCAGGCGGGCGGCUGAGGCCAACAGCUCCAGUGCUAGCUGGCAGGGGGUCCACAGGAGAAUGGCCAUAGCCACUGCACUGCUGGAGAUGUGAGCGAGGAAAGCAGCCACCACGUCUGUCAUCCUCCAAAGAGGCCCCGUUACAGCAUCCCACAGGGCCAGCACCAGGGAGAAGAAGUUCUGAGUGCUGAUGAGGCAGAUGUUGACUAGACUGUUGAUCACAUAGGCCACCAGGCUCAUGGCAAUAGCACAUAUGUCACAGGCCUGGCGCAGCAAAGCAUGGCCAUUGGAGACCAUGUUCAGGAUGCCCCGAUUCAGGAAUUCCCGGCUCCUCAGAGCUCCGUGGGAGGCCAAGUGCCCCAGUAGCUUUAAGCUCUCCAAGCCAGAGUAGCAGCUAUAGAGGAGCGUCCCCAAGGCCUGCAGUCCCCCGAAGGUAAAUCGGACCACAGCUUCAACUAAGGCCAGCAAAGAAAGCAGGAAUCCUCGACCCAAGUGCAGAAGACUGGUAAGUACCGUGUGUGGCAGAUUGUAGAUGAAGGCCAAAAGCCAGGCCAGGGUAGCCAGGAGGGAGGACACGAGCAGGAAGUUGAGAUCCAACAUCAAGGUCAGCAAGUCCAGCACCAGGCCCACCCCAUUCACCACCAGGUAGACAGCCUCCAUGAUAGGGCUGCGAAGUUCAGGACAAAAGGAAGGCUGGCUCCUCAGGGAAGGCGGUGUCAAGGUUGCCACUAUUGUGGCGAGAUCGGAGUGAAUUUGGAAGGGAUGCGAACGUCUAACCAAGGAAGAAGCAAGGGCUACAGAAGUGGGCUUCAGGGAAGACUUUUACAGAAGGGAACGGCGUCCCGGCUUGGAAGGCGGAAUGUUCGGGAGCGAAGAGGUGAAACAUCUCUAAAGUGACAGCGAGCCUGGACCGGAGGAAGCACCUCAGCGUUAGGAGCCUGGAGCGCACAUCAGAACCCAUGUCCUUGAAACAUGAAGUCAUUGAAGUACACAAAAGCCACAGUCUGUGGUUGUGCAGGGAAGAGAGGCACUUGGAUGCUCCUGCCUUCUAGCUUGCGGUUCCAG